CCCUUAGAUGUCCUGGGCCGCACGCGCGCUACACUGAUGCAUUCAACGAGUUUUACCUUGGCCGAGAGGCCUGGGCAAUCUUUUGAACCUGCAUCGUGAUAGGGAUAGAUUAUUGCAAUUAUUAAUCUUGAACGAGGAAUUCCUAGUAAACGCAGAUCAUCAAUAUGCAUUGAUUACGUCCCUGCCCUUUGUACACACCGCCCGUCGCACCUACCGAUUGAAUGGUCCGGUGAAGCCUCGGGAUUGUGGCGAGUUCCCUUUAUUGGGAGUUUGUCGCGAGAACUUGUCUAAACCUUAUCAUUUAGAGGAAGGUGAAGUCGUAACA
rnacentral:rRNA from 1 species